GCCUGUCUUGGCAGGUAGAUACUAAAAUUGGAACAAUGCAGAGAAAAUUAACAUGGCCCUGUGGAAGGAUGGCAUGCAAACCUGUGAAGGAGUCUAUAUUUUU
ensembl:snRNA U6 U6 spliceosomal RNA